UUGGUGAGGUAACGGCUCACCAAGGCGACGAUCCCUAGCUGGUCUGAGAGGAUGACCAGCCACACUGGAACUGAGACACGGUCCAGACUCCUACGGGAGGCAGCAGUGGGGAAUAUUGCACAAUGGGCGCAAGCCUGAUGCAGCCAUGCCGCGUGUAUGAAGAAGGCCUUCGGGUUGUAAAGUACUUUCAGCGGGGAGGAAGGUGUU
rnacentral:rRNA from 1 species